rnacentral:rRNA from 1 species
UACGUAGGGUGCGAGCGUUGUCCGGAAUUAUUGGGCGUAAAGAGCUCGUAGGUGGUCUGUCGCGUCGAUCGUGAAAACUUGGGGCUUAACCCUGAGCUUGCGGUCGAUACGGGCAUGACUGGAGUUCGGCAGGGGAGACUGGAAUUCCGGGUGUAGCGGUGGAAUGCGUAGAGAUCCGGAAGAACACCGGUGGCGAAGGCGGUCUGCUGGGCAGUUGCUGGACACUGAGGCGCGACAGCGUGGGGAGCAAACAGGG